UUCAAUUUGGCAGAUAAAUGCAAUAAAUUUAGAAUUUAUUUAUGAUAGAAAAUGUCAAUUGAAA
rnacentral:tRNA from 1 species